ACAGGGGUAGCUGAAAACCUGUAAAAUAGAGUAAGCU
rfam:Chitinophaga niabensis strain DSM 24787 genome assembly, contig: Ga0070009_11